rnacentral:rRNA from 1 species
UACGAAGGGGGGCUAGCGUUGCUCGGAAUCACUGGGCGUAAAGGGUGCGUAGGCGGGUCUUUAAGUCAGGGGUGAAAUCCCAGAGCUCAACUCUGGAACUGCCUUUGAUACUGGGUGUCUUGAGUCCGGAAGAGGUGAGUGGAAUUCCGAGUGUAGAGGUGAAAUUCGUAGAUAUUCGGAGGAACACCAGUGGCGAAGGCGGCUCACUGGUCCGGUACUGACGCUGAGGUGCGAAAGCGUGGGGAGCAAACAGG